rnacentral:rRNA from 1 species
GGGUGUAAAGUGUGCGUAGGCGGUUAGUUAAGUCUGUUGUGAAAUCCCCGGGCUCAACCUGGGAAUGGCAAUGGAUACUGGCUAGCUAGAGUGUGUCAGAGGAUGGUGGAAUUCCCGGUGUAGCGGUGAAAUGCGUAGAGAUCGGGAGGAACAUCAGUGGCGAAGGCGGCCAUCUGGGACAACACUGACGCUGAAGCACGAAAGCGUGGGGAGCAAACAGGAUUAGAUACCCUGGUAGUCCACGCCCUAAACGAUGCGAACUGGAUGUUGGUCUCAACUCGGAGAUCAGUGUCGAAGCUAACGCGUUAAGUUCGCCGCCUGGGGAGUACGGUCGCAAGACUGAAACU